UGCACAUGCUCUUUACUCACUAACAAGCUGAAUGGAGAGAAAACCAAAACCCGAAACAAAACCCAAGGACUUAGAGAAAGGCAAAGUCACAGAUAGAAAGAUCCCAAGUCCAUAUGCCACCACUUGGAGAAGAGCUUUCCAAGAGAAUUAAGUCACCAGGAAAAUCCAUGGACGUCUGUUGGCCUGAUACAUAUUUUUGGUUUUAUACAACAUGAUCCCAAACACCUGACCCAAAUGGAUUGAACCAGAGGCUCCCAACAACGUGAUGCCAUCUGCCAUGCUAUGAUGUACCAUGAGGCCCUCGCCAGAUGCAGCCACCCAGUAUGGAAACUUCUCAGUCUUCAGAGCUGUGAGACAAACCUCAUUAUUAAAAUAGAUUUUCCAGUCCCAGGUACUCUUUUAUAGCAAUAGGAAAUGACCUAAGACAGCUGUUAUGUUUUCCUGUUGUAUCAUCCGUCUUCUAAUUUUCUUUUUGAUAGUUUGGUAAGGAUAAACUGUCUUAAUUUUUUGUAGCUGUAUUUAUCAAUGUGAUUUUUGUAGUCUUUGUGUCACACACAUAAAGGUCUUUCAUACUCUGAAAUUAUAAACUGUUUUCUCCCUCCAUUACUUUUAUGAUUUUAUAUUUUUUACUGUGGACUCUUCAAUUUUCUUGAAUUAGUUUCAGUGACAAAAUGUGAAUCCAUUUUUGUCCAGAUGGCUUCCCCAUUAUCUAAGCACCAUUUAUUGAAUUAUCCAUCUUUUCCCCCACAGAUAUUUGACAUAUAUUAUAUGAUGCCACCUUUAUUAUAUGCUAAUCCCUAAGUAUUUCUACCUAUUUCUGGACUUCCUAGUUUGCUCCAUUUACAUGUCUGUCUGCUAAUGUGCCAACACUGCCUCAUUUUACUGUUAAACAUUUUAAUCAUUUAAAAAUAUCUGUUGUGCUAUUCUUUUAUCAAAAAUACUCUUCUGAAUUUUCCUUUUAAAGUUUUCCAUAUUAAGUUUAAAACUAAUUCCACAGAAAAAUGCCUUGUUAUUUUUAUUGGAAUCAAGUGUUAUUUAUAGAUUAAUUUUGAGAGAAUUUAUUGUUUUAUGAUGUUAGAUUUUCCUAUUCAAAAAUAUGAUAUGCUUUUAUAUUUGUCUAAGACUUCCUUUCUCCACUGGUAGCAUUUGAAUAUUUUCUUCAUACAGAUUUUAUGUGUUUCUUGUUAAGUAUAUUCUUUACUACUUCUCUCUUAAAGAGACUUUUUUUUCUUGAAGAGACUACAUACUACAGCAGUUAAAGCCAUAGCCUGUGGAUUAAGACUCCCUAAAUUUAAAUUAUGGUUCUAAAACUUACUAGCUGUAGAAACACGAACAAGUUAAUUAAAUGCUUUACCUCCAUUUCUUCAUUUGUACUACAAGCCUGUGAAAGCUCUCAGAAGAAUGCCUAGUGCAUAAUAAGAAUUCAUUAUUAACUCAUUGUUGCUAUUGUAGAUGAUUGUUUUUUUCCCAUAAAUCUUCCAACUUUUUAUUAUUUACAUAAACAGAAACUAUUGGUAUCUGGACAUAUUUUGCAUCUAG
rnacentral:lncRNA from 10 species